UACGGGAGGCAGCAGUGGGGAAUAUUGCACAAUGGGCGAAAGCCUGAUGCAGCUAUGCCGCGUGUAUGAAGAAGGCCUUAGGGUUGUAAAGUACUUUCAUCGGGGAGGAAAAAACAAAACUAAUAAUUUUAUUUCUUGACGUUACCCGAAAAAGAAGCACCGGCUAACUCCGUGCCAGCAGCCGCGGUAAUACGGAGGGUGCUAGCGUUAAUCAGAAUUACUGGGCGUAAAGAGCACGUAGGUGGUUUUUUUAAGUUAGAUGUGAAAUCCCUGGGCUUAACCUAGGAACUGCAUUUUGAAACUGAAAUACUAGAGUAUCGUAGAGGGAGGUAGAAUUCUAGGUGUAGCGGUGAAAUGCGUAGAUAUCUGGAGGAAUACCUGUGGCGAAAGCGGCCUCCUAAACGAAUACUGACACUGAGGUGCGAAAGCGUGGGGAGCAAACAGGGAUUAGAUACCCGU
rnacentral:rRNA from 1 species